AUCCCGCGGAAAGCUAACGACUUGAAUCCCGGAGCGAGACCGGGGCGGGAG
ncrna:unclassified sequences DTF2693-FD RNA